rnacentral:lncRNA from 1 species
GAUUUUUUUUUUUUGGUUUGGUUUUGUUUUUAAUUUAUUUAUUAUGUAUAUACAAUGCUCUAUCUCCAUGUACCAGAAGCAGGCAUCAGAUCCCAUUACAGAUGGUUGUGAGUCACCAUGUAGUUGCUGGGAAUUGAACUCAGGACCUCUGGAAGAGGUCAAGAGUCAGUCCUCUUAACUUCUGAGCCAUCUCUCCAGCCCCAGAUGUUUUUCCCAUGGUGUGUCUUCUUAGACUCUUCCUUACUGAUCUGAGCCUCCCCUUCCCCUGCAACCCCUGUUCUAUUCUCUCUUCUACCCAGCCUCUGGAUGAUCAGCAUUUAUUGACAAGACAGAAUGAGUGCUAAGAAUUGUUUUCACGCUGGGCGUGGUGGCGCACGCCUUUAAUCCCAGCACUCGGGAGGCAGAGGCAGGUGGAUUUCUGAGUUCGAGGCCAGCCUGGUCUAUAGAGUGAGUUCCAGGACAGCCAGGGCUAUACAGAGAAGCCCUGUCUCGAAAAACCAAAAAAAAAAAAAAAAAAAGAAUUGUUUUCACAAACGUCAGGAGAUUCUUAGCCUAACCAUUACAAUGCUAUGUCAGGAUUGAAGCAAGAUAUGAGGUCAUUUGAAUAAUUAUACAGUCCCUAAAGUCUCGACACAUGCUCUCCCUUGACCUUCAAGGAAAUGCUCAUCAGGAUCUGUAGCCACACUGGCAAGUCCUACUUGCUGUCUACCCUUCAGUCCCACCCAGGAGGAUGCCUAGGAUGGUCUGUCACGCUCAUAAGGUAUUCCCUCACUCAGUCAAUGCCUACAAGAUGAUCAGAACUUCUUAACCUUGGCUCUGCUGACACUUGGGGUUGGGUCAUUACUAUGAGGGCAUCAUCUGUGUUGUAGGGUGCUGGGCAGCCUUGUUGGGUCCCUACAUCCUCCACAGGAUGCCAGGGAAGCUCUGCCCUCACCUAGAAGGCUGCCCACUUGUCUUGGGCCACACCUACCUGGAAGCCCCACUGAGAAAGAACAGUCCCUCUCCAAAGUGCCUAGAUGCUUAGGCAAAGGCUAGAUGCCACGCCCACAGGAAACAUACUCAUCCAGGGCCACACCCAUGCCCACACUCAUAUACACACACACACACACACACACGAAAACCAUGCUUCCUUCUACAUACCACACCAAAUUUAAGGCCUGCUACCCAGAGACACACAACUUUUGACCUAACAGACCCACGCCCACAGGGAGUUGGCAUACCUGCCUCUACAAGGCCGUGCCCAUCCAGUUGGAGUCGGGGAAUCCUGGCUUGACGGGUUUUGGGUUCCACAGGAAACAGCAGCCCGGGUUUUGGGUUCCACAGAAACAGCAGCCCUGGACAAAUAAGCUUUGAGCGGGGGAGGUGCAGAGACAAGCUGGGGUGGGGACUGUGGGGUCAGGAGCACUGCAUGGCUGCCCACGGGCUGGACCACCUGCUGAGAGGGUCGCUCUAACCGGGUUAGGCUUUGAAGGCUUUGAAACUUGUGGGGCUUCCUCUCUUCAUCUCAGUUGAAAGAGUGGAAGAAAGAGAAACCUGC